rnacentral:misc_RNA from 1 species
UGUAUUUACUUUUUUGUUCAUAUGAAUAUGAAACUUGCACCCCAGAAAUAAACCAUUUGACUUGUUUUAGUAGAAAGCAGAUUGGUCAUUUUGUGAUAUUAAAGACAUUCACAUACAUGUGCAUACAUGUAUUUGGGAAUAUAUAGGACCAAUCAUUUAGGUAUCAAAAUAUUAUCAUAAUGGUAUGUGCUACCAUAUGUGCUUUGAUAAAGAUACAAAAAGAGAAACUUUUUUAAUAUGGUGCUUUGCAGAGGUUAAAACUAUUUUUGGUUUCUGUAUAAAUUGUUUUGCUUUGCUGUUAGAGCUAAAAGCUGUCAACUAUGUGCUGGAAAUUUGUAUUUAUCUGUCAAGUGGUUUAUGAUUAAAGCAACUUCUGUGGUCCAUAUAGUUUAUUAGUAAAGCAUAGCAUCAGUACCUUUGUAUUAAUUAGAGGAGUUUAUCAGUGAUUUCAAUUGUACAGGUACUUGGUAUAUCAAUUUAUUUUGGCAAAUUACUUGUAUAAAUUGGAAAACAAGUCAUGUAUAUAUAUCAUGAAAAUUAAAUUACCGGUAUCAAAAUUUUGACAUUUUUGAAUGGAAAAUUUUCAUUAUAAAGAUGCGGAUAUUACUUUUAUAAAUGCAUUGUGCAAUGUUUCUUAGAAAAUGACACAAUUGGGUUAUUUGUAUGGGAGUGUUCAUAUAUUUUAUUAUUUUAAAAUUUAUUUUAAGUAAGGUUCGAUAUAAUGAGAACUAGAAAUGAUGUAUCUUUUAAUAUUCAACCAACCCUUUUCUGUAAAUUGUACACAACUUUCAUGGUUGAGGGGUUAACUUUGGUGUUGAUAUGUCUUCCACAUCAGCGUACGUCCACCUUUUCUUUCGCAUCCUCAAAACUUUUCCCGAUACACGUGUAGAAAUAAUUCAGAAUAACAAAUAUGUAGAAUAGUUGACAAAAAGGCAUCAUGACUGUAAUAAUUACAAACAGUUGGCCUGAGAGAAUAAGAUAUCAUGACUUGUUUAUUAACCGUUGGCUAUUUAUAUUUGACAGUAAUUCUGCCAUUCUUUGAUUGUAAGCUACACUGGAUACAGAUACUUGCUUUGUAGUGCUUGUAUAUGUACAUUCACUGUAAUGUUAUCUUGUCUGUUCUGUUACAACAAAAGCAAUGCAUUUCUCUCCUGUGUUGAUGUUAUGAAUUAAUACCAUUAAAUAAAUUGUACAGCAUUC